rnacentral:lncRNA from 1 species
GGAAAAUACAAAUAAUAUGUGAUUGCAUUGUCAAUUAUAAAAUUAAAAUUAUUAAUUCAACUGUUUAUGAAAAUUUUUCAGAUUGUACAGAGAGGAAAAAAAAAUUGUAAAAUAAUUGCUUUGUUGUGAUAGUGGGCCAUGACAGCAGUGCAGGUUUUUGAUGCAGGUGAUUUUCUGAUCAAAGCAUCAAAUUCAUGGGUCAAGAAAUUUAAAGCCGAUCAUAAAAUAUGUCAAUGCAAAAUUACAAAAUUUAUGGGGGUAAAGGAACAUAUGAUGUUGGAUCAAAUUGAGAAGAGUGCUGUAUUGUUCCAAAAACAAACUGCCAAUCUAAUACAACAAUUUAAUUUGGAUUACAUAAUUAAUAUGGAUCAAACAGGAUGCGAAUAUCAUAUCAUCAGUAAUCG